rnacentral:rRNA from 2 species
CGGAGCAUGUGGUUUAAUUCGAAGCAACGCGAAGAACCUUACCAGGGCUUGACAUGCCGCUGACCGGUGCAGAGAUGCAUCUUUAUCCUUCGGGGUACAGCGGACACAGGUGGUGCAUGGUUGUCGUCAGCUCGUGUCGUGAGAUGUUGGGUUAAGUCCCGCAACGAGCGCAACCCUUGUCUUUAGUUGCCAUCAUUAAGUUGGGCACUCUAAAGAGACUGCCGAUGACAAAUCGGAGGAAGGUGGGGAUGACGUCAAAUCAUCAUGCCCUUUAUGUCCUGGGCUACACACGUGCUACAAUGGUCGGUACAACGAGAAGCAAGCCAGCGACGGCAAGCAAAUCUCUAAAAGCCGAUCCCAGUUCGGAUUGCAGGCUGCAACUCGCCUGCAUGAAGCCGGAAUCGCUAGUAAUCGCGGAUCAGCAUGCCGCGGUGAAUACGUUCCCGGGCCUU